GACGAACGCUGGCGGCGUGCUUAACACAUGCAAGUCGAACGGCAAGGCCCUGCUUUUGUGGGGUGCUCGAGUGGCGAACGGGUGAGUAACACGUGAGUAACCUGCCCUUGACUUUGGGAUAACUUCAGGAAACUGGGGCUAAUACCGGAUAGGAGCUCCUGCUGCAUGGUGGGGGUUGGAAAGUUUCGGCGGUUGGGGAUGGACUCGCGGCUUAUCAGCUUGUUGGUGGGGUAGUGGCUUACCAAGGCUGUGACGGGUAGCCGGCCUGAGAGGGUGACCGGCCACAUGGGGACUGAGAUACGGCCCAGACUCCUACGGGAGGCAGCAGUGGGGAAUAUUGCACAAUGGGCGGAAGCCUGAUGCAGCAACGCCGCGUGCGGGAUGACGGCCUUCGGGGUGUAAACCGCUUUCGCCUGUGACGAAGCGUGAGUGACGGUAAUGGGUAAAGAAGCACCGGCUAACUACGUG
rnacentral:rRNA from 1 species